UGUGACUUUAUCAAAACCUUCUUCAAAAUCUUCUUAAAAUAAACAAUUAACGGUGGAGACACAUAAAUAUGGAAAUCCAGUUGCUCAAAACAUUUAUUUGAAUUUAAUAAACCGUCGUUUGUCACGGUCCGAAAUAUAAAGUGUUGCGGUACUAAUUGUGAUAAUUCUUGAAACCAAGAAAAUCGUAAUUACUCCUUUCUGCCAAAGCGUCAGGUUCCAGCAGUGGUGUAAAAUUCUCGACAUCGAUAAGGAAAACGUAUCACCUAAAACUGUCGUUUGCAGCAAACACUUUUAGCCACCUUCAAGAAAUUUCUCAAAGAGUUUUACCGACCUCUCCACCCCAUUUGUGUCUUCACCAUUGUCUGUGUCUCCACCGAAAGGGGGGUGGGUUAAUUUAUCCUUUAUAUGAACAAGAAGAUAAAGAUUAGAAAUAAGUUUCACUACAGUUUGAAGUAGAAGAACCAGAACCACAUUCAACUGUUUCCAUUUUCCUUAUAUACUCAAGGCACGAAAAUUAUUGCUACUAUUUAUAAUAAAAUAUUUUGCAACCGGGAAAUUAUUUCGAUGUUUGUAAAAUUAAAGUAAAAUUGUAUUUAUGCUAAAUCAAUUUUUGUUGCAAUAAAUUUGGUUGUAAAUCUGCAUCACAACAACUUUCAGUUUUUAAU